UACGUAGGGUGCAAGCGUUAAUCGGAAUUACUGGGCGUAAAGCGUGCGCAGGCGGUUAUGUAAGACAGGUGUGAAAUCCCCGGGCUUAACCUGGGAACUGCAUUUGUGACUGCAUCGCUGGAGUGCGGCAGAGGGGGAUGGAAUUCCGCGUGUAGCAGUGAAAUGCGUAGAUAUGUGGAGGAAUACCGAUGGCGAAGGCAGCCCCCUGGGUCAAGCACUGACGCUCAUGCACGAAAGCGUGGGGAGCAAACAGG
rnacentral:rRNA from 1 species